GACGAACGCUGGCGGCGUGCUUAACACAUGCAAGUCGAACGGAAAGGCCCUGCUUUUGUGGGGUGCUCGAGUGGCGAACGGGUGAGUAACACGUGAGUAACCUGCCCUUGACUUUGGGAUAACUUCAGGAAACUGGGGCUAAUACCGGAUAGGAGAUCCUGCUGCAUGGUGGGGGUUGGAAAGUUUCGGCGGUUGGGGAUGGACUCGCGGCUUAUCAGCUUGUUGGUGGGGUAGUGGCUUACCAAGGCUUUGAAGGAUAGCCGGCCUGAGAGGGUGACCGGCCACAAUGCGACUGCGGGACGGAGCAGAGUCCAACGGGAGGCAGCAGUGGGGAGUAUUGCCCAAUGGGAGCGAGCCUGAUGCAGCAGCGUCGCGUUCGGGAUGACGGCCUUUGGGUUGUAAACCGCUUUAGCCUGAGACGAAGCGUGAGUGACGGUACUGGGUAAAGAAGCACCGGCUAACUACGUG
rnacentral:rRNA from 1 species